rnacentral:misc_RNA from 1 species
GAUGAAGAACGUAGCGAAAUGCGAUACUUGGUGUGAAUUGCAGAAUCCCGUGAACCAUCGAGUCUUUGAACGCAAGUUGCGCCCGAAGCCAUUAGGCCGAGGGCACGCCUGCCUGGGCGUCACACGUCGUUGCCCCCCCAUCUACUCCUUCGGGAUUGCGGGGGGCGGAUGAUGGCCUCCCGUGCGCCUCGCCGCGCGGUUGGCAUAAAUGCCAAGUCCUCGGCGACGCACGCCACGACAAUCGGUGGUUGCGAAACCUCGGUUGCCCGUCGUGUGCGGUCGUCGCGCAUCGAGGGCUCGAAAAAAUUGCCGGGUUCCGGCUCGGCUUUCAACGCGACCCCAGGUCAGGCGGGGUUACCCGCUGAAUUCAAGCAUAUCAAUAAGCGGAGGA